rnacentral:rRNA from 1 species
AGUGAACGCUGGCGGUAGGCCUAACACAUGCAAGUCGAACGGCAGCACAGUAAGAGCUUGCUCUUACGGGUGGCGAGUGGCGGACGGGUGAGGAAUACAUCGGAAUCUACUUUUUCGUGGGGGAUAACGUAGGGAAACUUACGCUAAUACCGCAUACGACCUACGGGUGAAAGCAGGGGAUCUUCGGACCUUGCGCGAUUGAAUGAGCCGAUGUCGGAUUAGCUAGUUGGCGGGGUAAAGGCCCACCAAGGCGACGAUCCGUAGCUGGUCUGAGAGGAUGAUCAGCCACACUGGAACUGAGACACGGUCCAGACUCCUACGGGAGGCAGCAGUGGGGAAUAUUGGACAAUGGGCGCAAGACUGAUCCAGCCAUACCGCGUGGGUGAAGAAGGCCUUCGGGUUGUAAAGACCUUUUGUUGGGAAAGAAAAGCAGCAGGUUAAUACCCCGCUGUUCUGACGGUACCCAAAGAAUAAGCACCGGCUAACUUCGUG